rnacentral:siRNA from 1 species
CUCAAGUUCAGCUGUUCUUCUU